rnacentral:rRNA from 1 species
ACACGACUACAUUAGAUACCCCUGUAGUCCCAGCCCUAAACGAUGCGCGUUAGGUGUAUCGGUGACCACGAGUCACCGAGGUGCCGAAGGGAAACCGUGAAACGUGCCGCCUGGGAAGUACGGUCGCAAGGCUGAAACUUAAAGGAAUUGGCGGGGAGCACCACAACGGGUGGAGCCUGCGGUUUAAUUGGACUCAGCGCCGGGAAGCUCACCGGAUAAGACAGCGGAAUGAUUGCCGGGCUGAAGACCCUGCAUGACAAGCUG